rnacentral:rRNA from 1 species
GGUUAAGCGACUAAGCGUACACGGUGGAUGCCCUGGCAGUCAGAGGCGAUGAAGGACGUGCUAAUCUGCGAUAAGCGUCGGUAAGGUGAUAUGAACCGUUAUAACCGGCGAUUUCCGAAUGGGGAAACCCAGUGUGUUUCGACACACUAUCAUUAACUGAAUCCAUAGGUUAAUGAGGCGAACCGGGGGAACUGAAACAUCUAAGUACCCCGAGGAAAAGAAAUCAACCGAGAUUCCCCCAGUAGCGGCGAGCGAACGGGGAGCAGCCCAGAGCCUGAAUCAGUGUGUGUGUUAGUGGAAGCGUCUGGAAAGGCGCGCGAUACAGGGUGACAGCCCCGUACACAAAAAUGCACAUGCUGUGAGCUCGAUGAGUAGGGCGGGACACGUGGUAUCCUGUCUGAAUAUGGGGGGACCAUCCUCCAAGGCUAAAUACUCCUGACUGACCGAUAGUGAACCAGUACCGUGAGGGAAAGGCGAAAAGAACCCCGGCGAGGGGAGUGAAAAAGAACCUGAAACCGUGUACGUACAAGCAGUGGGAGCACGCUUCGGCGUGUGACUGCGUACCUUUUGUAUAAUGGGUCAGCGACUUAUAUUCUGUAGCAAGGUUAACCGAAUAGGGGAGCCGAAGGGAAACCGAGUCUUAACUGGGCGUUAAGUUGCAGGGUAUAGACCCGAAACCCGGUGAUCUAGCCAUGGGCAGGUUGAAGGUUGGGUAACACUAACUGGAGGACCGAACCGACUAAUGUUGAAAAAUUAGCGGAUGACUUGUGGCUGGGGGUGAAAGGCCAAUCAAACCGGGAGAUAGCUGGUUCUCCCCGAAAGCUAUUUAGGUAGCGCCUCGUGAAUUCAUCUCCGGGGGUAGAGCACUGUUUCGGCAAGGGGGUCAUCCCGACUUACCAACCCGAUGCAAACUGCGAAUACCGGAGAAUGUUAUCACGGGAGACACACGGCGGGUGCUAACGUCCGUCGUGAAGAGGGAAACAACCCAGACCGCCAGCUAAGGUCCCAAAGUCAUGGUUAAGUGGGAAACGAUGUGGGAAGGCCCAGACAGCCAGGAUGUUGGCUUAGAAGCAGCCAUCAUUUAAAGAAAGCGUAAUAGCUCACUGGUCGAGUCGGCCUGCGCGGAAGAUGUAACGGGGCUAAACCAUGCACCGAAGCUGCGGCAGCGACACUAUGUGUUGUUGGGUAGGGGAGCGUUCUGUAAGCCUGUGAAGGUGUACUGUGAGGUAUGCUGGAGGUAUCAGAAGUGCGAAUGCUGACAUAAGUAACGAUAAAGCGGGUGAAAAGCCCGCUCGCCGGAAGACCAAGGGUUCCUGUCCAACGUUAAUCGGGGCAGGGUGAGUCGACCCCUAAGGCGAGGCCGAAAGGCGUAGUCGAUGGGAAACAGGUUAAUAUUCCUGUACUUGGUGUUACUGCGAAGGGGGGACGGAGAAGGCUAUGUUGGCCGGGCGACGGUUGUCCCGGUUUAAGCGUGUAGGCUGGUUUUCCAGGCAAAUCCGGAAAAUCAAGGCUGAGGCGUGAUGACGAGGCACUACGGUGCUGAAGCAACAAAUGCCCUGCUUCCAGGAAAAGCCUCUAAGCAUCAGGUAACAUCAAAUCGUACCCCAAACCGACACAGGUGGUCAGGUAGAGAAUACCAAGGCGCUUGAGAGAACUCGGGUGAAGGAACUAGGCAAAAUGGUGCCGUAACUUCGGGAGAAGGCACGCUGAUAUGUAGGUGAAGUCCCUCGCGGAUGGAGCUGAAAUCAGUCGAAGAUACCAGCUGGCUGCAACUGUUUAUUAAAAACACAGCACUGUGCAAACACGAAAGUGGACGUAUACGGUGUGACGCCUGCCCGGUGCCGGAAGGUUAAUUGAUGGGGUUAGCGGUAACGCGAAGCUCUUGAUCGAAGCCCCGGUAAACGGCGGCCGUAACUAUAACGGUCCUAAGGUAGCGAAAUUCCUUGUCGGGUAAGUUCCGACCUGCACGAAUGGCGUAAUGAUGGCCAGGCUGUCUCCACCCGAGACUCAGUGAAAUUGAACUCGCUGUGAAGAUGCAGUGUACCCGCGGCAAGACGGAAAGACCCCGUGAACCUUUACUAUAGCUUGACACUGAACAUUGAGCCUUGAUGUGUAGGAUAGGUGGGAGGCUUUGAAGUGUGGACGCCAGUCUGCAUGGAGCCGACCUUGAAAUACCACCCUUUAAUGUUUGAUGUUCUAACGUUGGCCCCUGAUCGGGGUUGCGGACAGUGUCUGGUGGGUAGUUUGACUGGGGCGGUCUCCUCCUAAAGAGUAACGGAGGAGCACGAAGGUUGGCUAAUCCUGGUCGGACAUCAGGAGGUUAGUGCAAUGGCAUAAGCCAGCUUGACUGCGAGCGUGACGGCGCGAGCAGGUGCGAAAGCAGGUCAUAGUGAUCCGGUGGUUCUGAAUGGAAGGGCCAUCGCUCAACGGAUAAAAGGUACUCCGGGGAUAACAGGCUGAUACCGCCCAAGAGUUCAUAUCGACGGCGGUGUUUGGCACCUCGAUGUCGGCUCAUCACAUCCUGGGGCUGAAGUAGGUCCCAAGGGUAUGGCUGUUCGCCAUUUAAAGUGGUACGCGAGCUGGGUUUAGAACGUCGUGAGACAGUUCGGUCCCUAUCUGCCGUGGGCGCUGGAGAACUGAGGGGGGCUGCUCCUAGUACGAGAGGACCGGAGUGGACGCAUCACUGGUGUUCGGGUUGUCAUGCCAAUGGCACUGCCCGGUAGCUAAAUGCGGAAGAGAUAAGUGCUGAAAGCAUCUAAGCACGAAACUUGCCCCGAGAUGAGUUCUCCCUGACUCCCUGAGAGUCCUGAAGGAACGUUGAAGACGACGACGUUGAUAGGCCGGGUGUGUAAGCGCAGCGAUGCGUUGAGCUAACCGGUACUAAUGAACCGUGAGGCUUAACCUU